rnacentral:lncRNA from 1 species
CGCAAGACCGUCGCCUCCUGCGGCGUCGCCCUGCCGCGCUGCUAAGCCGCCACCAGCCCUCAUCACGGCUGCUGCCAGCGCCGCUCUCUCGAGCGUAUCUGCGAGGAAUAAAGGAUGGGUUAUUCGUCCAUGCACUUUGCCGUCUGCCUGGCUGCUCCCAUCCCUGCUUAUAUUAUAUAUGCUCUUGUGUAUGCACGUUUGUGUAAUGUGUGUCCAUCGAUAUAAAUAUAUUAUAUAUAAUACCGGUCCAGUUUGUCACAACGGCUUUAGCUUCAACAGUAACUUUAAUUUACCAUUCAAGGUAAAGCUAUUUGCUGGAUAAAUCAUUUGACAAACCAGAUUUAUACACAUAAACCCUUUAAAAACAUGCUAAACAAAAUCAACACAUGGCCUCACAAGAAUAAUUUGAAACUGGAAAAAGCUAAUAUUUUUAGCUUCACCUCGUACAAAUCUUUUGCGAGAGCAUAUUUCUUAAAAAAAUAUCCAUUUAAUAUAAAAAAAAUUCAAACAGCUCUGUCGAUGUUUUACCACUAAUAGCCUACGACGGGAGUAAUCAGAACAUUUGUUCGGGCUUCGAUGUAUGUUGGAACUUAACAACAAACACAAGAGACAGACGAUUUAUCCUAGUUUAGACUUUCGAGUUUAAUCUCGAGUAGUAGCCUUUAUGUCCGAUCGGCGUUAGACUUUGCGUUGUAUUGGGUGUAUUGUAUUGUUCGUAGUUAUAAGAGCAAGGCUAAUGAUUUAGCCGGCUGAAGGCUGUAUAGCAAUGCCAUGUCACAUAAAGCCCCUGCUACAGCCGGCUCAUAUAAUAGGUUGGCUGUUAGGCUAGUUGUAUUACAGAGCUAAUAUUUAAUGACUGAAGAUGUAUAUCAUCUGCUGUUGUCUGUAUCUUUGUAGCCAUCCAUCAAACUACUAAGGUCGCUUGUUUGAUAAUCAAGAUAAAGGCUUCACAGAUUGCCAUGCUGCUCCAUCGAUGGCCGGUUUUGAUGACAGGCAGUAGUCAGGAAAGAACAGAGCAAUAUUCCUAAAAUUAAAAAAAUUCAAAUACAUCUCACUAAAGAAUAAUCAGGUAAAAUUGAUGAGCAAUGGAAGAUGCAUAUUAUGCUUUGCAUUCAAGCAAUAGGUCCGUACGACAUGAUAGGCUGAGGUUGCGAGCUUGCGGCGGCGGUCGGACAGGCUACCGCUGAGUGACGCCGGCAAGACCUCGAGAGGUAGUGAGGCACCGCGACGUCGCAGGUCGGUCCGAUGCCAUCCGCCAUGGCUGAAGAUUCGCCCCGCCGCCGAAGAGCAGCUAGUCGCCCAGCCCCGUGCGGUCCAGCCGCGCGGACGAGUCCCCACCGCCGCCGAGCAACCCAGCUUUGCGCGGCUCCGCCAGUGCUGCCGGACACGCAGCCACCGUACCCCAGCCCGUGCGGGCGCGCCCCACGCUGACACGAGAUUUGCCGUAGGAAGAGAGGGAAGGCGCGGAGUCCGCACGGGAUCGAGUGGGAGAAAACGUGAGGAGAGAAACGUCGGCUUAGCGCUUGCAGCUGGCUGGAAACGGGCGGUAUCAGGCUAUUCAGCCGGGGGAAGAGUUGGAUUCUUCCCGUCCGAACGUUCGGACGGGAGCGUCGGUCCGAUGAUUGCCGCGCGACGUUCCCGCGCGAUGGCCGUCCUCCCGCGCGUGGACGCGAGCAGCCGCUAGCACGGACGACGGUUUUUAUUCCAGGUAAGUGCGUUUGUUUUCCCUUUUGUUUCCUUUUUUUUUUCUUUUUUCCUUAUUUUAUCUUCUUUUCUUUUUCUUUAUUAUUUUUUCCCUCUCAUUCGCUGUUGUCUAGUUUUUUUCUUUUUCUUUAUGUUUCUUUUCCUUUUUUCUUGGUAUUUUUAUUUUCUUUAUUUUUUUUGUUUCUUUCCUUUUUUUUCUUAUUUUCUUUUUAUAGCUACAAUUUAAUUUUACUUUAACUUUUUUUGUUUAUCUUAUUUUUUGUUUUACUUUUUUCAUGUGAUUUACAUUAUUUUUUUAGUUUUUUAUCUUAUUAUUUCUUCUUUUUUGUUUUUACUACAAUUAACUAUUAUAUUUGUUUUACUUUAUUUAUUUUUAUAUUUUAUUCUUUUUUGUAUUUAUUUAUUUUUCUUUUAUCUUUUAUCUUUAUGUUUUCUAUAGUUCAUUAUUUUCUAUUUUUCAUUUUUUUCUUACAUAAAUAUUUUAUUUGUUUAAUUUUUUAUUUUUUAUUUUUUGUUUCUUCUCUAAUUAGGUUUUGUUUUAUUCAUGUUUUUUAUUUUUUUUAAUCUUUUUUAUUGUUUAACCUUUUUAUUUUUUCUUUUGUUUUUUUGAGAUUUUUCUUCUUUUCAAGCAUCUUCUAUUUUUAUUUCCUUUUUAAAGAUAUUUUAUGUUGUUUUUUUAUGUUUAUGUAUGAUGUUUUAUUUUUUUUAUGUUUACAUGAUAUAUGUAGUGUUUUAUGAUGUUUUUUUAUGUUCGCUAACAUACAUAUCAUGUUCUUGUAAUAUAUAUGUGAUGUUCUACAGUAUUUUUUGUGAUGUUCACAUAGUACAUAUACGAUGUUCUACGAUUUAUUUAGUGAUGUUCUAUAAUGUAUUUAAUGAUGUUCUAUGUUGUAUUUAGUGAUGUUCCAUUAGUAUAUAUGUGAUCGUCAUGUAAUAUAUAUACGAUGUUCUAUAAUAUUUUUAGUAUCAUAUAUUUAGGGGGUGUUUGGUUGCUACCCACAAUUUGCCACACUUUAACUUAGGCAAGUUUGACCAAGUUGGUAAGUGUUUGGUUCACAACUAAGCUUAGGCAUGAUUCUUUUGGGCUCCACAUGUCAUUGAGUUAAAAAGUGUGGCAAGAUUCCUUUAGGCAUGACAAAGUGUGGCAACCAAUUUGCUAGCCACACUUUUUGUGGCUUGCCACACUUACCUAAAGUUAGUUGUGGUAGAUUGUGGCUAGCAACCAAACAUCCUCUUAGUGAUGUUGACAUAAUAUAUAUGUGAUAUUCUGUAAUAUUUUAGGAAUGUUCUAUGGUGUAUUCUGUGAUGUUCGCGUAGUAUAUAUAUGUACGUUCUUACAGUAUACAAUGAUGUUCUAUGAUGUAUUUUAUGAUGUAUUUUCUUUUAUGUUUCUUUUAUUUUUCCCUCCCGAUCGUUGCUGUUAGUUUUCUUCUCUUUUUUUGUUUCUUUUUUCUUUUUUCUUUUUCUUUUUAUUUAUUUAUUUAUUUCCUUUUCUUUUUUUUCUUUUUUCUUUUAUUUUUUCUUAUUUUAUUUUAUUUUUCUUUAUCUUUUCAUUUUCCUUCCUGCCCGUUGUUGUAUAGUUUUCUUUUUUUGUUUCCUAUUUGUUUUUUCUUGGUAUUUUUCUUUAUUUUGUUUUUUUUUCUUUUUAUUUUUCCCUAAUUCAUGUUUAUAGAUUCAAUUUAUUUUUAUUUUUCUUUUAUGUUAUUUUAUAUUUUUAUCUUUCUUUUAUUUUUUCUCUUUAUUUUUUUAUUCCUUUUUGUGCUUCAUUUUUUCCCUUUCUUUUUUUCAAUUUUUAUUUCAUUCAUCUUUUUAUUUUUUUGUUUCUUUUGGCAAACAUUAAUUUAGUGCUGGUUACAAAGGUGUUUAUUAGAUUAUUUUUUGUGGAAUACAUACAUGCAUGUGAUUGAAACGCUACAAACGUCUUGAUAUUGAUCUUAUGGUGGUUGUUUAAUUUUUUUAGUGGACUAAUAUCAUAGGAAGCGAGUGAUAUUAUUUUUCGUUUCUGUUUCAUUCAAUUUUCCAUAUUAUUUUUAAUUUUAUUUUUUAUUACUAUCAUUAAUUAGUUUUAUUUAUUCUUUUUUAUUUCUUUUUUGUCUUUAUGUUUUUAUAGAUUUUUUAUUUUUCUACUUUAUCUUACUUAAUUAUUUUUUAUAUUUACUUUUUUCUUUUCUAUAUUUCAUGAGAUGUGAUGUAAAAUGAUGUUUUUUGCAGCGUUCAUGUGGUAUACAAUGCCAUUUUUUGAUGUUUUUUUAUGAUGUUUAUGUAGUAUAUGUAAUGUUCUAUGGUUUUUAUGAUGUUCAUGUGUUAUAUAUGUAAUGUUCUAUGAUAUUUUUUUAUGUUCGUGUUAUAUUUUUGUGAUGUUCUACGAUUUUUUUGUGAUGUUCGUGUAAUAUAUAUCUGAUAAUGCAAUAUUCUAUAUUGUAUUUGGCGAUGUUCUAUAUUGCAUUUGGUGAUGUUCGAUGGUUUAUUUAGUGAUGUUCACUUAGUAUAUAUGAUGAUGUACAUAGUGAUAUUCACGUAAUAUAUAUGUGAUGUUCUAUAGUGUAUUUAAUGGUGUUUUAUAUCGUAUUUAGUGAUGUUCUAUGAUGUAUUUAGCGAUGUUCAUGUUAAUGUUCGAUAGUGAAUUUAGUGACGUUCAUUUAGUAUACAUGUGAUGUUUUUUUUGAUAUAUUUAGUGAUGUUCAGGUAAUAUAUAUACGAUGUUCUAUAAUGUAUUUAGUAAUGUUCUAUGGUGUAUUUAGUGAUGUUCACUUAGUAUACAUGUGGUGUUCUAUGAUGUACUGAGUGAUGUUUAUGUAAUGUAUUUGUGAUGUUCUGUAAUAUAUUUAGUGAUGUUCCGUAAUGUAUUUAGUUAUGUUCACUUAACAUACAUGUGAUGUUUGCCUUUUAUUUUUUCCAUAUUCCAUUGUAUAUGGUAUACACAUGAUGAAUGAGAUACUGUAUGAUUAUCUUUAAGUAUUUUCACAACAUAUUAUGUAGUAUUCAUACAACAUGUUAUGUAGUAUUUAUACAACAUGUUAUGUAGUAUUUUCCCAUGGUCCAUAUGUUAUAUUAUACACAUGAUGUUCUACUUGUGUAAUGUUAUUUAUUAUAUAAUUAUAUAUUUUUAUUUUAUUUAUUUAUCGGUAUUAUAAUACCAAUCAUUUAAGUGUGUUUUCAUAUGGAUAUUGUUUUUUCUAAAUUUAAAAUAUUUUUUUGUGAAGGCGGAAUAUUGUUUUAUGAAUCUAGAACACCACCUUUAUUCAAUAAUAAAAGAAAAUAUUCUAUCUUUAUGAAAUACAUAUUCGUUAAUAGAAUAUAUUCAUGUUGAGAUCUUAUUUUGAAGCAUUUAGUAUAAGGAAUCCAAUAGUGCAAUCUGAAUUUAAUUUGGAUACUUGAUUUGCUAACUAUAACGAAGAUGGAACAUCGUCUCUUAUGAAGAUGGAACAUUAUUUUUUAAUGAAGAUGGAACAUCGUCGCCAUGUUUAUAAUACCAAUACGGUUCUUAGAAUAUUUUAUUAUGAAGAUGGAACAUUAUUUUUUAAACCUUAAACAUCGUUUAUCUUUAUAUGAUAAUUAUUCGUUAUUAAAAUUUUAUCUAAAUAUAUCCAUGUGGGAUCUUGUUUUGAAGGAUUUAUUACAAGAAAUCAAAUGGUGUAAUCGAAAUUUAAUUUGGAUAUUUUGUUUAGGAGUUAUGACUUUUUUUUCAUUAAAAGCAUGCGUUGUAGGUAACAAGGAUAUGUUGCUGCACUAUCACCUCGCACCAGCUGCGCAUGGUAAAGCCACGAGCCAAAUUUAAUUAGUAUGUGUGAGAAUAAAUAUUUACCAGCACCGGCCAUAGAAAAAGUACAUUAAAUGUCUAAUUUGGAAACAGUCUAAGAACGACGUGCGCUGCAGAGGUAAAUGUAAUUUUCGGCACUAAAACCGUGGGAAUCUAAAUAUAUUCAUGUGAGAUCUUAUUUUGAAAGAUUUAUUGUAAGAAAUCUAAUGGUACAAUCGGAAUUUAAUUUGGAUAUUUGGUUAAGAAGUUAUGACUUUUUUUAGUUCAUUUAAAAAUCAUUACGUGUAUGAGUCAGAGCUAACGUGGGUGUGUUGCUUUAUGUACUACUUGUACGAUAGCACAGCACGACGUGGAAAAAGGCUAAUAAAAAUAGAUUCGGGCGCCAUCAACCGGAAAAUUCCGAGUACCAUACGCGCGCAAACGUCUGACGCGGGAAAUUCGAGCGGGAAUCUGCCGGACAAAGGAUGCGGUCCGAACGGCCGGACCGCAAGAGCCCCCGGGAAGAGUUUACCGCCGGCUGGUUCUCUCUCCAUUUCUCUCUCUCUGCCACAUCAUGAUUUUUUCCUACAUAGCUUGGAUUCAGCCGGCUGAAUCAGCCUCAUCUUUAUAUUGGUAGAGAUAAUUGAGAGGUGACUUGCUAUUAUAGAUGAAUUCAAAGAUAGUGUUCUAUUUCUAAGGCCUUGUUUAGUUUGGAAAAAUUUUUGGAUUUCGCUACUGUAGCACUUUCGUUUGUUUGUGGCAAAUAUUAUCCAAUCAUAGACUAACUAGGAUCAAAAGAUUCGUCUCGUGAUUUACAGGUAAACUGCGUAAUUAAUUUUUGUUUUCGUCUAAAUUUAAUGCUUCAUGCAUGUGCCGCAAGAUUCGAUGUGACGGCUUGAAAAAUUUUGGAAACUAAACAAGGCCUAAUAC